rnacentral:lncRNA from 1 species
AUUACCUUUACCUCCCGAUAGUGAACAAGAACUAUGUGAGACAGCUCCCUGAAGCAGAAAUCAGCAUUUAAAAGAUAUCAGACUCCUCCAAAUAGGAAGAAAAAUAAGUAUAAGCGGUGAAAAUUUGAACCCAAGUACUAUGAUCCUAUAAGACCACUUUCUACAUUGUCCUAAUUUAGUAGACAGGGCAAUUAUAGUACUUCACUACAUCCAGUUGCUAGACAAAAUUAACGUAUGUGUAGGUAAGCAAAUGCACAUACGUGAUCAACAAUCCCUAACUUAGUGCUUGUUUAGGAGAAAUUAUUAGGGUUGUAAGAAAAAACUGUCAAUCAUGCAAACCAAACCGUCAAUUUGGUGCCACGUGGAACCAUUAGCGUUGGUUUUGGUUUAGAUUUCAAAAUUUUCACAGCAGAUUGAAACCUAACUGGAUCUUUUAAAAAAAAAAAAAAAAAAUUACUUUUUGCCAAUAACUACACUCUAACCUCGAAAAUAAAAUAAAAUAUAAAUAUUAUAAAUUUCAAUACAAAAAUAGGUAAUUUGAUAAAUUGUUCAUUACAAUUAGUUAAUUAUCCUAAUUUCAUAAUCUCAUUGCUGAAACUUUUCUUUGAUUUUGUUAAUAUUCAAAUUUACAAAUUGAUAUGUAUACUUUUUUCUUUUUUAUCACCAAAAAAGUAGGAAAAUAUUUUUAUAAUCAUUGAACUAGGGAGAACAAAGUGAACAGAGAGAAAAUAUACAGUAAAAUUGUGAGUUAAAAUUGGACCAAAACAUUAAGUUUAGGUUUCUCUAAACCGUUUUAAAUUAUUUGAUUUUGGAUUUUUCUCACAGCGUUUAAAAUGGUUUGGUUUGAAAUUCUACAAGAAACUAGCCAAA